UACGGGGGGAGCAAGGCGUUGUUCGGAUUUACUGGGCGUAAAGGGCGCGUAGGCGGUCAGCACAAGUCAGUUGUGAAAUCUCCGGGCUUAACUCGGAAAGGUCAACUGAUACUGUGCGACUAGAGUGCAGAAGGGGCAACUGGAAUUCUCGGGUGUAGCGGUGAAAUGCGUAGAUAUCGAGAGGAACACCUGCGGCGAAGGCGGGUUGCUGGGCGUGACACGUGACGCUGAGGCGCGAAAGCCAGGGGAGCGAACGGG
rnacentral:rRNA from 1 species